rnacentral:rRNA from 1 species
UUCCGGUUGAUCCUGCCGGACCCCACUGCUAUCGGGAUGGGACUAAGACAUGCUAGUCGUGCGCCUUCCAGCCAUAUGGGAGGCGCGGCGCACAGCUCAGUAACACGUUGCUAACCUGCCCUUGGGACGGGAACACCCCCGGGAAACUGGGGCUAAUUCUCGAUAGGUGAAGAACUCUGGAAUGAGUCUUCGCCUAAAAGGCGUCGGAUCAUGCUUUCGGCGUCGCCCAAGGAUGGGGCUGCGACCGAUCAGGUUGUUGGUGAGGUAAUGGCCCACCAAGCCUAUAACCGGUGCGGGCCGUGAGAGCGGGAGCCCGGAGAUGGGCACUGGGACAAGGGCCCAGGUCCUACGGGGCGCAGCAGUCGCGAAACCUUUGCAAUACACGAAAGUGUGACAGGGUCAUCCCGAGUGCCGACCGCUGAGGUUGGCUUUUACCCAGUCUAGAAAGCUGGGAGAAUAAGGAGAGGGCAAGUCUGGUGUCAGCCGCCGCGGUAAUACCAGCUCUCCGAGUGGUGUGGACGUUUAUUGGGCCUAAAGCAUCCGUAGCUUGCUGAUCAAGUCCCCCGUUAAACCCACCGAUUUAAUCGUUGGCUUGCGGGGGAUACUGUUCGGCUAGGGGACGAGAGAGGCAGACGGUAUUCCCGGGGUAGGGGUGAAAUCCUAUAAUCCCGAGAAGACCACCAGUGGCGAAGGCUGUCUGCUAGAACGCGCCCGACGGUGAGGGAUGAAAGCUGGGGGAGCGAACCGGAUUAGAUACCCGGGUAGUCCCAGCUGUAAACGAUGCAGACUAGGUGUUUGGACGGCCACGUGCCGUUCUAGUGCCGCAGGGAAGCUGUUAAGUCUGCCGCCUGGGGAGUACGAUCGCAAGAUUGAAACUUAAAGGAAUUGGCGGGGGAGCACCACAAGGGGUGAAGCUUGCGGUUUAAUUGGAUUCAACGCCGGG